CGGGUGAGUAACGCGUGGAUAACCUGCCUCAUACAGGGGGAUAACAGUUAGAAAUGACUGCUAAUACCGCAUAAGCGCACAGGACCGCAUGGUCCGGUGUGAAAAACUCCGGUGGUAUGGGAUGGAUCCGCGUCUGAUUAGCUGGUUGGUGAGGUGACGGCCCACCAAGGCGACGAUCAGUAGCCGACCUGAGAGGGUGGCCGGCCACAUUGGGACUGAGACACGGCCCAAACUCCUACGGAAGGCAGCAG
rnacentral:rRNA from 1 species